UACAGAGGGUGCAAGCGUUGUUCGGAAUUAUUGGGCGUAAAGCGCGUGUAGGCGGCUUAGCAAGUCAGACGUGAAAUCCCUCGGCUUAACCGGGGAACUGCGUCUGAUACUGGAUGGCUUGAGAUUGGGAGAGGGAUGCGGAAUUCCAGGUGUAGCGGUGAAAUGCGUAGAUAUCUGGAGGAACACCGGUGGCGAAGGCGGCAUCCUGGACCAACACUGACACUGAGGAGCGAAAGCCAGGGGAGCAAACGGG
rnacentral:rRNA from 1 species